UGUACUACUGCAACAGUUUGUCAUCGCAACUCCUCUCAAACCACACAACAGAAUUUCACGAAACCUUUUCAGAUAAUAAGGACAUACUAUGUAGUUGUGCAUAUCGACGGGGAAUUGCGAUUCAAUUUUUUUUCUAGGAGUUAAGCCCCUUUGAACUUAUUUACUUUAAUGUACUACUGCAACAGUUUGUCAUCGCAACUCCUCUCAAACCACACAACAGAAUUUCACGAAACCUUUUCAGAUAAUAAGGACAUACUAUGUAGUUGUG
rnacentral:lncRNA from 1 species